rnacentral:rRNA from 1 species
CCCAGACUCCUACGGGAGGCAGCAGUGAGGAAUAUUGGUCAAUGGGCGCGAGCCUGAACCAGCCAAGUCGCGUGAGGGAAGACGGUCCUAUGGAUUGUAAACCUCUUUUGUCGGGGAGCAAAAGACGCCACGCGUGGCGUUCCGAGAGUACCCGGAGAAAAAGCAUCAGCUAACUCCGUGCCAGCAGCCGCGGUAAUACGGAGGAUGCGAGCGUUAUCCGGAUUUAUUGGGUUUAAAGGGUGCGUAGGCGGACGCUUAAGUCAGCGGUAAAAUUGCGGGGCUCAACCUCGUCGAGCCGUUGAAACUGUCGGUCUUGAGUGGGCGAGAAGUAUGCGGAAUGCGUGGUGUAGCGGUGAAAUGCAUAGAUAUCACGCAGAACUCCGAUUGCGAAGGCAGCAUACCGGCGCCCGACUGACGCUGAGGCACGAAAGCGUGGGUAUCGAACAGGAUUAGAUACCCCUGUAC